rnacentral:rRNA from 1 species
GAUGAACGCUGGCGGCGUGCCUAAUACAUGCAAGUCGAGCGAACGGACGAGAAGCUUGCUUCUCUGAUGUUAGCGGCGGACGGGUGAGUAACACGUGGAUAACCUACCUAUAAGACUGGGAUAACUUCGGGAAACCGGAGCUAAUACCGGAUAAUAUUUUGAACCGCAUGGUUCAAAAGUGAAAGACGGUCUUGCUGUCACUUAUAGAUGGAUCCGCGCUGCAUUAGCUAGUUGCUAAGGUAACGGCUUACCAAGGCAACGAUGCAUAGCCGACCUGAGAGGGGGAUCGGCCACACUGGAACUGAGACACGGUCCAGACUCCUACGGGAGGCAGCAGUAGGGAAUCUUCCGCAAUGGGCGAAAACCCGACGGAGCAACGCCGCGUGAGUGAUGAAGGUCUUCGGAUCGUAAAACUCUGUUAUUAGGGAAGAACAUAUGUGUAAGUAACUGUGCACAUCUUGACGGUACCUAAUCAGAAAGCCACGGCUAACUACGUG